CCUACUUUGUUCUUCAGCAGUGUACAGAAGGAUAAACUGUAGUAAAAUUUCACCAUCUGAGGGACAAUUAAAGAGUGACAGUAAUGCUAAGAGUCUGCUUCUCAGCUGUGAACCACCUGGAAAUUUUAUUAUUUAUCUGAGGGCUCAGAUUCGGUCUCUGCAGGCACCGUAACUUUGUCCCCUAGAAGCUCCUCUAAGAUGAAGACAGUUUCCCAGUUGCUAUAGUGAUGAGCUGGGAAAAUAUCUGAGUGCAUGCUGUCACCAAAAUAAACAACCUGUGAAGGAAGCAGCAAAUUAAAAGGUCUUUGUA